rnacentral:piRNA from 1 species
UUCGUGUACCGCUCGCACUUGGCCAUCCAC